AUGCCUCAACAUCAUAAAGAGUUAAAGAAUCAGAUUUACCAUACAUUUGCAUCACGAAGAAGUGUAUUCCUUAGGAAAGUCAUCCAAGAUAGCAUCAAUUUGAGUUUCUUCAGAGAUUAUAUCACCCACUGCAAGCAAAGAAUCAUCAAUGGACUUGAUCUUGAGAACAUACUCCGAUACUGUUCGAUUCGCCUUCUUUGUAGUCUUGAGUUCAUAACGCAGUUGUCGCACUUUAGCCUCCAUCAUCGCAUUAAAAUGCUUGGGGAUUUUGUCCCUUACUUCAAAUGA